rnacentral:sRNA from 1 species
GCCAGGCUCAGUGGUGCAUGCCUGUAAUCCCAGUGACUCAGGAGGCUGAGGCAGGAGGAUUACAAGUUUGAGGCCAGCCUCAGCAACCUAGGGAGGUCCUAAACAACGUGGUGAGACCCUGUCUCAA